rnacentral:rRNA from 1 species
GAUGAACGCUAGCGGGAGGCCUAACACAUGCAAGCCGAGCGGUAUUGUUUCUUCGGAAAUGAGAGAGCGGCGUACGGGUGCGUAACACGUGUGCAACCUGCCUUUAUCUGGGGGAUAGCCUUUCGAAAGGAAGAUUAAUACUCCAUAAUAUAUUGAACGGCAUCGUUUAAUUUUGAAAGCUCCGGCGGAUAGAGAUGGUCACGCGCAAGAUUAGCUAGUUGGUGAGGUAACGGCUCACCAAGGCGAUGAUCUUUAGGGUGCCUGAGAGGGUGAUCCCCCAGACUAGUACGGAGACACGGACCAGACUCCUACGGGAGGCAGCAGUGAGGAAUAUUAGUCAAUGGGUGCAAGCCUGAACCAGCCAUCCCGCGUGAAGGACGACUGCCCUAUGGGUUGUAAACUUCUUUUGUAUAGGGAUAAACCUACCCAAGAGAGGGUAGCUGAAGGUAGUAUACGAAUAAGCACCGGCUAGCUCCGUG